AAAUUGAAGAGUUUGAUCAUGGCUCAGAUUGAACGCUGGCGGCAGGCCUAACACAUGCAAGUCGAACGGUAACAGGAAGCAGCUUGCUGCUUUGCUGACGAGUGGCGGACGGGUGAGUAAUGUCUGGGAAACUGCCUGAUGGAGGGGGAUAACUACUGGAAACGGUGGCUAAUACCGCAUAACGUCGCAAGACCAAAGAGGGGGACCUUCGGGCCUCUUGCCAUCAGAUGUGCCCAGAUGGGAUUAGCUAGUUGGUGAGGUAACGGCUCACCAAGGCGACGAUCCCUAGCUGGUCUGAGAGGAUGACCAGCCACACUGGAACUGAGACACGGUCCAGACUCCUACGGGAGGCAGCAGUGGGGAAUAUUGCACAAUGGGCGCAAGCCUGAUGCAGCCAUGCCGCGUGUAUGAAGAAGGCCUUAGGGUUGUAAAGUACUUUCAGCGGGGAGGAAGGUGUUGCGGUUAAUAACCGCAGCAAUUGACGUUACCCGCAGAAGAAGCACCGGCUAACUCCGUGCCAGCA
rnacentral:rRNA from 1 species